CACCACCCCGCCCGAUGCCUGCCCGCCUGCGCCGAGGGGGCGAGGGUCCACCCUCUCCGCGCACAGGCGGGUAGACCCUCGCUGCUUACACUACCCGCCCCCUCCUUUCCUCCCUCAUGGAAGGGCCGCUGGGCCGCCUGUGCUGGAGAAGAGAAGGCUCCAGAGAGACCUUAGAGCAACCUUCCAGUACCUAAAAGGGGCUGAGAAGGAACAGCGGUCAUCACUACUUCUGAAUGAGCAUGGACUGGGAUUUUCAAGAAUUUAAAGUGAGAUGAUUGAUAUAAUGCAGUUUUCUGAUCUAAAUACUCUUUGGAGGAUCUUUCAUGGAAUGUGCAAUAUUUUCUAAGUGUAUAGUUUCACCUCAGAAAUAAGUAAUUAGAGGCAGUUUCCAGUCGUAUGUAGCAGCUGGGUAUGUUCACAAGAUGGCUUUACUUCAAGGAGUAAGGUAUUUAUAGAAAGUAAAUAUAUAAAUAUUAUUUCUAUAAGAAGGGUCUUUACUAUUUCUUAAAAAGGAGUGAAAUUUAUGCAUUUCUUGAACACUUAUGAAAAUAAUUUGUAUUUUUUUUCUGGUUUUAUAAUAAU